rnacentral:rRNA from 1 species
GAUGAACGCUGGCGGCGUGCCUAAUACAUGCAAGUCGAGCGAACAGAUAAGGAGCUUGCUCCUUUGACGUUAGCGGCGGACGGGUGAGUAACACGUGGGUAACCUACCUAUAAGACUGGGAUAACUUCGGGAAACCGGAGCUAAUACCGGAUAACAUUUGGAACCGCAUGGUUCUAAAGUGAAAGAUGGUUUUGCUAUCACUUAUAGAUGGACCCGCGCCGUAUUAGCUAGUUGGUAAGGUAACGGCUUACCAAGGCGACGAUACGUAGCCGACCUGAGAGGGUGAUCGGCCACACUGGAACUGAGACACGGUCCAGACUCCUACGGGAGGCAGCAGUAGGGAAUCUUCCGCAAUGGGCGAAAGCCUGACGGAGCAACGCCGCGUGAGUGAUGAAGGGUUUCGGCUCGUAAAACUCUGUUAUUAGGGAAGAACAAACGUGUAAGUAACUGUGCACGUCUUGACGGUACCUAAUCAGAAGAAGCCCCGGCUAACUCCGUGCCAGCCGCCGCCGUAA